AAGGGUUCGUAGUUGAAUUCGGGGCUGACGAGUAAACGGUGGCGCCUGUCCUUCGGAGAGGUUUCAACCACCGUUCUCGCAGCCCGAGAACAUUCGAAACAAACAUCACGGAAUCGUUAUCCACCCAAUUUUCGCAUACAAUGUAUGCAGGGGGACGUCCGUGUUUCAUUACUGUGACAAAAGAAGGGUGACCAAAGCAGUCAUUCGACAUGAAUUAGAAAGCAUGGGAUAACAAAGGAGCGGCCUACGAGCUUCCAUUUUGGCUUUUGUUGGUUUUAAGGGUUUGUGGGAGAUUGUGGACGCGCAAGACCGGUUGUUCGGCGCUACGGCUCCGACAGCUUUCUGCUCUGGCCUUCGGGUCUCUGUAGACUUGCAGUGUCCAGGAAUGAAGGAGGGUUGUUCGGGGGAGAACGUACUUGAGCUGAGAG
rnacentral:rRNA from 1 species